GUCUGCGGCCAUACCACCUUGAUGGUUUCCAGUUUGGUCUGAUCUUGGAAGCUAAGCAGGGUCAGUCCUGGUUAGUAAUUGACUGGGAGACUGAGGUCGCAGGGA
rnacentral:rRNA from 1 species